GUGGGGAAUAUUGGACAAUGGGCGCAAGCCUGAUCCAGCCAUGCCGCGUGAGUGAUGAAGGCCUUAGGGUUGUAAAGCUCUUUCAGUAGGGAAGAUAAUGACGGUACCUACAGAAGAAUCCCCGGCUAACUUCGUGCCAGCAGCCGCGGUAAUACGAAGGGGGCUAGCGUUGUUCGGAUUUACUGGGCGUAAAGCGCACGUAGGCGGAUUGGUCAGUUAGAGGUGAAAUACCGAAGCUCAACUUCGGAACUGCCUUUAAUACUGCCAGUCUCGAGUCCGGAAGAGGUGAGUGGAACUCCUAGUGUAGAGGUGGAAUUCGUAGAUAUUAGGAAGAACACCAGUGGAGAAGGCGGCUCACUGGUCCAGUACUGACGCUGAGGUGCGAAAGCGUGGGGAGCAAACAGGAUUAGAUACCCCGGUAGUCC
rnacentral:rRNA from 1 species